rnacentral:rRNA from 1 species
GGUUGUAAAGCACUUUCAGUGGGGAAGAAGGCUUGUCGGCCAAUACCCGGCAAGAGCGACAUCACCCACAGAAGAAGCACCGGCUAACUCCGUGCCAGCAGCCGCGGUAAUACGGAGGGUGCAAGCGUUAAUCGGAAUUACUGGGCGUAAAGCGCGCGUAGGCGGCUUGUCACGCCGGGUGUGAAAGCCCCGGGCUCAACCUGGGAACGGCAUCCGGAACGGGCAGGCUAGAGUGCAGGAGAGGAAGGUAGAAUUCCCGGUGUAGCGGUGAAAUGCGUAGAGAUCGGGAGGAAUACCAGUGGCGAAGGCGGCCUUCUGGACUGACACUGACGCUGAGGUGCGAAAGCGUGGGUAGCAAACAGGAUUAGAUACCCUGGUAGUCCACGCCGUAAACGAUGUCGACUAGCCGUUGGGUCCCUUGAGGACUUAGUGGCGCAGUUAACGCGAUAAGUCGACCGCCUGGGGAGUACGGCCGCAAGGUUAAAACUCAAAUGAAUUGACGGGGGCCCGCACAAGCGGUGGAGCAUGUGGUUUAAUUCUAUGCAACGCGAAGAACCUUACCUACCCUUGACA